AAUAUUGGACAUUGGGCGAUAGCCUGAUCCAGCCAUGCCGUGUGUGUGAAGAAGGUCUUCGGAUUGUAAAGCACUGUAAGUUGGGAGGAAGGGCAGUAAGUUAAUACCUUGCUGUUUUUACGUUACCGACAGUAUAAGCACCGGCUAACUUCGAGCCCGCAGCCGCGGUAAUACGAAGGGUGCAAGCGUUAAUCGGAAUUACUGGGCGUAAAGCGCGCGUAGGUGGUUUGUUAAGUUGGAAGUGAAAUCCCCGGGCUUAACCUGGGAACUGCUUUCAUAACUGCUGAGCUAGAGUACGGUAGAGGGUAGUGGAAUUUCCUGUGUAGCGGUGAAAUGCGUAGAUAUAGGAAGGAACACCAGUGGCGAAGGCGACUACCUGGACUGAUACUGACACUGAGGUGCGAAAGCGUGGGGAGCAAAC
rnacentral:rRNA from 1 species